rnacentral:rRNA from 1 species
UUUCCAGAGAUGGAUUGGUGCCUUCGGGAACCGUGAGACAGGUGCUGCAUGGCUGUCGUCAGCUCGUGUUGUGAAAUGUUGGGUUAAGUCCCGCAACGAGCGCAACCCUUAUCCUUUGUUGCCAGCGGUCCGGCCGGGAACUCAAAGGAGACUGCCAGUGAUAAACUGGAGGAAGGUGGGGAUGACGUCAAGUCAUCAUGGCCCUUACGACCAGGGCUACACACGUGCUACAAUGGCGCAUACAAAGAGAAGCGACCUCGC